CGAACGGGUGAGUAAUGCGUGACCAACCUGCCCCAUGCUCCAGAAUAGCUCUUGGAAACGGGUGGUAAUGCUGGAUGCUCCAACUUGACGCAUGUCUUGUUGGGAAAGUGUUUAGUGGCAUGGGAUGGGGUCGCGUCCUAUCAGCUUGUAGGCGGGGUAAUGGCCCACCUAGGCUUCGACGGGUAGCCGGCCUGAGAGGGCGGACGGCCACAUUGGGACUGAGAUACGGCCCAGACUCCUACGGGAGCAGCAGGC
rnacentral:rRNA from 1 species